rnacentral:piRNA from 1 species
GCUGCUUAACCUGGCCUAGAACUUGCUGC